AGAGUUUGAUCCUGGCUCAGAACGAACGCUGGCGGCAGGCUUAACACAUGCAAGUCGAACGCCCCGGCAAGGGGAGUGGCAGACGGGUGAGUAACACGUGGGAACAUGCCCAAAGGUACGGAACAACUCCGGGAAACUGGAGCUAAUACCGUAUGUGUCCGUAAGGAGAAAGAUUUAUCGCCUUUGGAUUGGCCCGCGUCGGAUUAGCUAGUUGGUGGGGUAAAAGCCUACCAAGGCGACGAUCCGUAGCUGGUUUGAGAGAACGACCAGCCACACUGGGGACUGAGACACGGCCCAGACUCCUACGGGAGGCAGCAGUGGGGAAUCUUGGACAAUGGGCGCAAGCCUGAUCCAGCCAUGCCGCGUGGAUGAUGAAGGCCUUAGGGUUGUAAAAUCCUUUCGCCGAGGACGAUAAUGACGGUACUCGGAGAAGAAGCUCCGGCUAACUUCGUGCCAGCAGCCGCGGUAAUACGAAGGGGGCUAGCGUUGUUCGGAUUUACUGGGCGUAAAGCGCGUGUAGGCGGGUCGUUAAGUUGGGGGUGAAAUCCCGAGGGCUCAACCUCNGAACUGCCUUCAAAACUGGCGACCUGGACUCAAGUANAGGCNAGUGGAAUUGCGAGUGUAGAGGUGAAAUUCGUAGAUAUUCGCAGGAACNCCAGUGGCGAAGGCGACUUGCU
rnacentral:rRNA from 1 species